CNUUAAAUCGGUCAUCGCGAAUGCAUCAGAUGAUNNAAAUUUGAUCAUGGCUCAGAUUGACCGCUAGCGNNGAAUGCCUUACACAUGCAAGCUCGACAACGGGCAGAACACANAACUAUCGGUCUGGAUGGCGAAGUUGGCGAACGGCGAUGAGCUAAUGCUAUCGAGAAAACGGUGCCGCAGAUAGAGAGGAGGCAAAUAAAGCCAUACGACGAAAAGCGANAGCCUAAACAUACCCGACAUAACGACCCAAAACGGGNGAGAAAACAGAC
rnacentral:rRNA from 1 species